AUGGGUCACCAGCAGCUGUACUGGAGCCACCUGUGAAAAAUCGGCUAGGGUUCUGGCUUUUGUCGAGUCUGUUCAAACAGGCACGGUCUGAUCCAGAAAUACGGCCUCAAUAUGUGCUGCCAGUGUUUCUGUCAGUACGCGAAGGAUAUCGGUUUCAUUAAGUUGGACUGAAUGAUCUUCCUUUAAAGUAUUAUCCAAGACAUCUACCAUGAAAAACCAUGACAGUUCUUUGUAUAUAAAAUAAACAUUUU